UCCCUGGUGGUCUAGUUGCUAAGGCUCCCGUGCUCUCACUGCCGCAGCCCGUGUUUGAUUCCCGGGCAGGGAA